rnacentral:rRNA from 1 species
CCUACGGGAGGCAGCAGUGGGGAAUAUUGCACAAUGGGCGAAAGCCUGAUGCAGCGACGCCGCGUGCGGGAAGAAGGCCUUCGGGUUGUAAACCGCUUUCAAUUGGGAAGAAGAGAUGAGCGCUAAUAUCGCUCUGAUUUGACGGUACCUUUAGAAGAAGCACCGGCUAAUUUCGUGCCAGCAGCCGCGGUAAUACGAAAGGUGCAAGCGUUGUUCGGAUUUACUGGGCGUAAAGAGAUCGUAGGUGGUUUGUUAAGUCGGAUGUGAAAUCCCAAGGCUCAACCUUGGAACUGCAUUCGAUACUGGCAGGCUAGAGUUUGGGAGGGGUAAGCGGAAUUCCGUGUGUAGCAGUGAAAUGCGUAGAUAUACGGAGGAACACCUGAGGCGAAGGCGGCUUACUGGACCAAUACUGACACUGAGGAUCGAAAGCGUGGGUAGCAAACAGGAUUAGAUACCCUGGUAGUCCACGCCCUAAACGAUGUCAACUAGCCGUAGCGGGUAUCGACCUCUGCUGUGGCGAAACUAACGCGAUAAGUUGACCGCCUGGGGAGUACGGUCGCAAGAUUAAAACUCAAAGGAAUUGACGGA